rnacentral:rRNA from 1 species
CCCUUAGAUGUCCUGGGCUGCACGCGUGCUACAAUGAUACGUGCAACGAGUUAAUCCUGCUCUGAAAGGAGUGGGUAAUCUUAUGAAUGCGUAUCGUGCUUGGGAUUGACCAUUGUAAUUAUUGGUCAUGAACGAGGAAUUCCUAGUAAGCACAAGUCAUCAGCUUGUGCUGAUUACGUCCCUGCCCUUUGUACACACCGCCCGUCGCUCCUACCGAUUGAGUGUUCCGGUGAAGCCUCGGGAUUGUGGUUCUUGCCGCUUUAUUGUGGCGUGACCGCGAGAACUUGUCUAAACCUUAUCAUCUAGAGGAAGGUGAAGUCGUAACA